GUGCCAGCAGCCGCGGUAAUACGUAGGAGACGAGCGUUGUCCGGAAUUACUGGGCGUAAAGCGCGUGUAGGCGGAUGAGCAAGUCUGCUGUGAAAGCUCCUGGCUUAACCGGGAGUGGUCGGUGGAAACUGCUCGUCUGGAGGACGGUAGAGGUAGGUAGAAUUCCCGGUGUAGUGGUGAAAUGCGUAGAGAUCGGGAGGAAUACCUGUGGCGAAGGCGGCCUACUGGGCCGGACCUGACGCUGAGACGCGAAGGCGUGGGGAGCGAACGGGAUUAGAUACCCCGGUAGUCC
rnacentral:rRNA from 1 species